rnacentral:rRNA from 1 species
AAAGUGGCGAACGGCUGAGUAACACGUGGGCAACCUGCCCCUUUGCACUGGGAUAGCCUCGGGAAACCGAGGUUAAUACCGGAUACUCCAUAUUUGUCGCAUGGCGAAUAUGGGAAAGCUCCGGCGGCAAAGGAUGGGCCCGCGGCCUGUUAGCUAGUUGGUGGGGUAGUGGCCUACCAAGGCAAUGAUGGGUAGCCGGGUUGAGAGACCGACCGGCCAGAUUGGGACUGAGACACGGCCCAGACUCCUACGGGAGGCAGCAGGC